GCCAGCAUGGUGUAGUGGUUUGAGCGUCAGACUACAACUCUGGAAAACAGGGUUCAGUUCCCAGCUCGGCCA